rnacentral:rRNA from 1 species
AAUAGAUACCCCGGUAGUCCACGCCGUAAACGAUGGAUGCUAGCUAUUGGGGGGAAUCGACCCCCGUCCGAAGCGAAGCUAACGCGUUAAGCAUCCCGCCUGAGUAGUACGAGCGCAAGCUUAAAACUCAAAGGAAUUGACGGGGACCCGCACAAGCGGUGGAGCGUGUGGUUUAAUUCGAUGGUAAACGAAGAACCUUACCAAGGUUUGACAUCCCGAUAGCCGUUCUCCGAAAGGAGAAUUUCAUUUAGUUGGACCGGUGACAGGUGAUGCAUGGCCGUCGUCAGCUCGUGUCGUGAGAUGUUGGGUUAAGUCCCGCAACGAGCGCAACCCUUAUGAUUUAGUUGGAUUUUUCUAAACAGACUGCCCUGGUAACAGGGAGGAAGGAGGGGAUGAUGUCAGGUCAGUAUUUCCCUUACACCUUGGGCGACACACGCGCUACAAUGGCCGGUACAAUGGGCAGCUAAGCCGCGAGGUGGAGCAAAUCCCAUCAAAGCCGGUCCCAGUUCGGAUUGCAGGCUGAAACCCGCCUGCAUGAAGCCGGAAUCGCUGGUAA